UACGUAGGGGGCAAGCGUUGUCCGGAAUCAUUGGGCGUAAAGAGCGUGUAGGCGGUCCGAUAAGUCCGCUGUGAAAGUCCAGGGCUCAACCCUGGGAUGCCGGUGGAUACUGUCGGGCUCGAGUCCGGAAGAGGAGUGUGGAAUUCCUGGUGUAGCGGUGAAAUGCGCAGAUAUCAGGAGGAACACCAAUGGCGAAGGCAGCACUCUGGGACGUGACUGACGCUGAGACGCGAAAGCGUGGGGAGCAAACAGG
rnacentral:rRNA from 1 species